GGGCUUGACAUCCCACGAACCUGCGGAAACGCGGGAGUGCCCGCAAGGGAGCGCGGAGACAGGUGGUGCAUGGCUGUCGUCAGCUCGUGUCGUGAGAUGUUGGGUUAAGUCCCGCAACGAGCGCAACCCUCACCCCUUGCUGCCAUCAGGUAACGCUGGGCACUCCAGGGGAACUGCCCCGGUCAACGGGGAGGAAGGUGGGGAUGACGUCAAGUCAUCAUGCCCCUUACGUCCUGGACUACACACGUGCUACAAUGGCCGGUACAAAGGGAUGCAAGACCGCGAGGUGGAGCUAAACCCAAAAAGCCGGUCUAAGUUCAGAUUGGAGUCUGCAACUCGACUCCAUGAAGGAGGAAUCGCUAGUAAUCGCGUAUCAGCACGACGCGGUGAAUGCGUUCCCGGGCCUUGUACACACCGCCCGUCACACCACGAAAGCCAGCUGUACUCGAAGUCGCUGAG
rnacentral:rRNA from 1 species